UGGAUAUUUACUUCCUGGACCUCAACUAUCCACAGCCUGCUGCUGUAUGAGCCUGAAUAUUAUCUUAUCUUAUCUUAUCUUAUCUUAUCUUAUCUUAUCUUAUCUUAUCUUACCUUAUCUUAUCUUAUAGCAGACCCGUAGAGAGCACACCAACUCCACACAGAGGCUGGAAAUCACUCCCCUACCAAUCCAUUACCAUUCAGCACCAGCCAGCAGAAUGGAACCAGCACUGCACAGCACAGCGCAGUACAUGCAGUGUCCUCUGGAUGAAGAAGGACCACACCCAGAGACAGGCCAGGGUGAAGAGAGGACGCUUAGACCUGUGAAAUGCUGUCAGCGCCGUAGCCAGGGCAGGCAGCCUGUGUCUUAGAGGGCAGCAGUUACAGGUGGAAACCAAGGAAACAGAUUAAAUUACCGACAUCCAGACAAAGGAGCUGCCUGACUGGACGCCCCAUAGCUGCAGUGUGAGGUCCGGCACACGCCCGGGUCCGGCUCCCCCCCCCCUCCCCCCCGUAACCUAUGAUGGCAGCUCCACAAUUUCUACACUCUCAGGUAGAAUCCAAGGCUUCUCUAAUAUUCUGCAUCGCUUUCCUA